rnacentral:rRNA from 1 species
AGGGUUUGAUCAUGGCUCAGAACGUACGCUGGCGGCACGCCUAACACAUGCAAGUCGAACGAAGUAGCAAUACUUAGUGGCAGACGGGUGAGUAACAUGUAGGUAUCUGCCCUUUGGCCUGGAAUAACACGAGGAAACUUGUGCUAAUACCGGAUAAGUCUUUACGGAGAAAGCUUUAUGCACCAUUGGAUGAGCCUGCACUUGAUUAGUUUGUUGGUGGGGUAAUGGCCUACCAAGACUGUGAUCAAUAGCUGAUUUGAGAGGAUGAUCAGCCACAUUGGGACUGAGACACGGCCCAAACUCCUACGGGAGGCAGCAGUGGGGAAUCUUGCACAAUGGAGGAAACUCUGAUGCAGCGAUGCCGCGUGAGUGAAGAAGGCCCUUGGGUUGUAAAGCUCUUUCGUCGGGGAAGAAAAUGACUGUACCCGAAUAAGAAGGUCCGGCUAACUUCGUGCCAGCAGCCGCGGUAAUACGAAGGGACCUAGCGUAGUUCGGAAUUACUGGGCUUAAAGAGUUCGUAGGUGGUUGAAAAAGUUAGUGGUGAAAUCCCAGAGCUUAACUCUGGAACUGCCAUUAAAACUUUUUAGCUAGAGUAUGAUAGAGGAAAGCAGAAUUUCUAGUGUAGAGGUGAAAUUCGUAGAUAUUAGAAAGAAUACCAAUUGCGAAGGCGGCUUUCUGGAUCAUUACUGACGCUGAGAUACGAAAGUAUGGGUAGCGAAGAGGAUUAGAUACCCUCGUAGUCCAUACCAUAAACGAUGAUUAUUAGAUGUGGGGAAUUAUUUCUCUGUAUCAUAGCUAACGCGUUAAAUAAUCCGCCUGGGGAGUACGACCGCAAGGUUAAAACUCAAAUGAAUUGACGGGGACCCGCACAAGUAGUGGAGCAUGUGGUUUAAUUCGAAGAUACGCGCAGAACCUUACCAACACUUGACAUGUUCGUCGCGACUCUAAGAGAUUAGAGUUUUCGGUUCGGCCGGACGAAACACAGGUGCUGCAUGGCUGUCGUCAGCUCGUGUCGUGAGAUGUUGGGUUAAGUCCCGCAACGAGCGCAACCCUCACUUUUAGUUGCCAUCAUUAGGUUGGGCACUCUGAAAGAACUGCCAGUGAUAAGCUGGAGGAAGGUGGGGAUGACGUCAAGUCCUCAUGGCCCUUACGUGUUGGGCUACACACGUGCUACAAUGGUAUCUACAACAGGAAGCAAGACUGCGAAGUUAAGCAAAUCCCUAAAAGAUACCUCAGUUCGGAUUGCACUCUGCAACUCGAGUGCAUGAAGCUGGAAUUACUAGUAAUCGUGGAUCAGCGUGCCACGGUGAAUGCGUUCCCGGGUCUUGUACACACCGCCCGUCACACCAUGGGAGUUGGUUCUACCUUAAGGCAAGGUUUCAAACCCUUGACCACGGUAUAGUCAGCGACUGGGGUGAAGUCGUAACAAGGUAACCG